rnacentral:rRNA from 1 species
UACAGAGGUUUCAAGCGUUGUUCGGAUUCAUUGGGCGUAAAGGGCGCUUAGGUGGCGGGGUAAGUCGGGUGUGAAAUCUCAGAGCUCAACUCUGAAACUGCACUCGAUACUGCUCUGCUUGAGGACUGGAGAGGAGACUGGAAUUCACGGUGUAGCAGUGAAAUGCGUAGAUAUCGUGAGGAAGACCAGUGGCGAAGGCGGGUCUCUGGACAGUUCCUGACGCUGAGGCGCGAAGGCCAGGGGAGCAAACGGG